rnacentral:lncRNA from 1 species
UAUUUGCAGUCUGUCAAUUUGCCUGUUUAAAAAUAAAAUAUCCAGUGAUCAGCAUGAGUGGGUAUAAUGGAAACAAAUAAGACACAGAUUAUGAACUCCGUCCUCCAAGGACUUACAGAUCUUCUAGAGCUGCAGGCGCCCUUGUUCCUGGUGUUCCUGGUGAUCUACCUUAUCACCACGGUGGGCAACCGUGGCCUGAUGGCUCUCAUCUGGAAGGAUCCCCACUUUCACACCCCCAUGUGCUUAUCCCUCGGCAGUUUAGCCUUUGCAGAUGCAUGCACUUCAUCUUCUGUGACUCCCAAGAUGUUCGUACAUUUUUUAUCUAAGAAUCAUAUGAUAUCCCUGGUUGGGUGCAUGAUCCAGUUUUAUAUUUUUGCUUCCGGUGCAAACACAGGAAGUUUCCUCCUGGUAGUGAUGGCCUAUGACUGUUAUAUGGCCAUAUGUAACCCUUUGCUUUAUCCUCUAGUGAUGUCCAAUACCUUCUGCAUUCAAUUAUCAGGUGUUUCAUUUAUUAUUGUUUUUUUCAUCCUAUAACGCAUGUGGGUUUGUUAUUUCAAUUAACUUUCUGCAAGUCCAAUGUAAUACAUUAUUUCUACUGUGAUAUUUUACAACUGUUUAAAAUUUCCUGUACUGACCCUGGAGUAAUAUGCUCCUGGUUUUUGUAUUUUCAGUCUUUAUACAAUCUUUCACUUUUAUGACUAUCAUCGUCUCUUACUCCUAUGUCCUCUUGGCCAUCCUGAAAAAGAAGUCUGAGAAGGGUAGAAGGAAAGCUUUCUCCACUUGCAGUGCCCAUCUGCUUUCUGUCUCUUUGUUCUAUGGCACUCUCUUCUUCAUGUAUGUGUGUCCUGGGUCUGGAUCAGCUGCAGAUCAGGACAAAAUAUAUUCUUUAUUUUACAUGAUAAUAAUUCCUCUGGUAAAUCCUUUUAUUUACAGUCUGAGGAAUAAAGAGGUCAUAGGUGCAUUGAAGAGAAUAAUAAAUAAAUAA